AUUGAACGCUGGCGGCAGGCCUAACACAUGCAAGUCGAACGAGUGGCGGACGGGUGAGUAAUGUCUGGGAAACUGCCUGAUGGCGGGGGAUAACUACUGGAAACGGUAGCUAAUACCGCAUACCAUCAGAUGUGCCCAGAGGGGAUUAGCUUGUUGGUUGGGUAACGGCUCACCAAGGCGACGAUCACUAGCUGGUCUGAGAGGAUGAACAGCCACACUGGAACUGAGACACGGUCCAGACUCCUACGGGAGGCAGCAGUGGGGAAUAUUGGACAAUUGGCGAAAGCCUGAUGCAGCAAUGCCGCGUGUAUGAAGAAGGCCUUCGGGUUGUAAAGUACUUUCAGCGGGGAGGCGUUACCCGCAGAAUAAGCACCGGCUAACUCCGUGCCAGCAGCCGCGGUAAUUC
rnacentral:rRNA from 1 species